CUCUUUCCUGAGUAUAAGCGAAUGAGUGACAUAAAGAGAAAAAGUACCAAUUUGUAUGCUGGUGAGUCUUGUGUAUUUUUUUCUCUGUCUCUCUAUGACAGAGAAAUAUAUAUGCUCAUUAUUGAUGUUCAAACUGAUGCUCAAAUUUCCAAGCACCACCUGAACGCCUCAUCGGUCUUUAACUAAUCACUACACCAACGGUUGUCAUUCCGCUUUGCUCUCUGCUGUGGAACUUGACUCACAUCUGUGCUUUGCCUGUGUGCAGAAGAAGAACAAGGACCAGAUCUCCAGUCUUCUAUCUCACAUCCCAACCCCCCAACCCCUCUAUCUUCUGUCCUACUCCACCUGUUGUCUCUGCCUUCUUUCCAUCUGUAUUUCACCCUGUGGUUUGUGAGAAAUUUUGCCAAACCAAGAAUCUUAUUGCGGUUUGAUUUAAAGCCGUGUCUCUCCUGCUCUGUCUGUUCUCUCUGCUAAAUUUUCUCUCUACCUGUUUUUCACUCUUUGGCUUGCUGCUGAAAAAUGCACAAGCCAAUAAAGCAAUAAAGAGUGCAUAUUUUGCCUCAACCUGAGAACAAACUGAACAAACAAAGAAAACUCUGCGGUUUGAUUUAAAGCCGUGUCUCUCCUGCUCUGUCUGUUCUCUCUGCUAAAUUUUCUCUCUACCUGUUUUUCACUCUUGGCUUGCUGCUGAAAAAUGCCAAGCCAUUAAAGCAAUAAAGAGUGCAUAUUGCCUCUACCUGAGAACAAACUGAACAAAUAAAGAAAACUCUAAUUCACGGUUUGAUUGUGAUUUCCCAGCCGUGUUUCUCCUGCUCUGUCUGUUCUCUCUUCUAAAUUUUCUCUCUAGCUGUUUUUCACUUUGCGCUUGCUGCUAAGUUGUGCCAAGCCAAUAAAGAGAGUGCAUAUUAUUCUCUUGACUGACAAACUGUCAAACAAACAAAGACAUCUGUUUCUGAGAAAUAAAAACUGAA